AAGGAACUCGGCAAAUUGACACCGUAACUUCGGGAGAAGGUGUGCCGCUGGCGGUUAGUGACUUCGCGUCACGAAGCUGUCGGUGGUCGCAGUGAAAUGGCGGUUGUGACUGUUUACUAAAAACACAGGACUCUGCGAAGUCGUAAGACGACGUAUAGGGUCUGAUGCCUGCCCGGUGCUGGAAGGUUAAGGGGAUAUGUCAGCGCAAGCGAAGCAUUGAACCGAAGCCCCAGUAAACGGCGGCCGUAACAAUAACGGUCCUAAGGUAGCGAAAUUCCUUGUCGGGUAAGUUCCGACCUGCACGAGGGCAUAACAACAUCCGCACUGUCUCGACCAGGGACUCAGCGAAAUUACAUUGGGGGUGAAGAUGCCCUCUACCCGCGGAAAGACGGAAAGACCCCAUGAACCUUUACUGCAACUUGGCAGUGAUUUUCGGGUUGUUCUGCGUAGGAUAGGUGGGAGGCUUUGAAGCCGGGCUUCCGGGUUCGGCAGAGCCAACGUUGAAAUACCACCCUGAAUAAUCUGGAAAUCUAACCUGCGCCCAUGAUCUGGGCGAGGGACACUGCCUGGUGGGCAGUUUGACUGGGGCGGUCGCCUCCUAAAUUGUAACGGAGGCGUGCGACGGUUCCCUCAGGCUGAUUGGAAACCAGCCGUAGAGUGCAAACGCAUAAGGGAGCUUUACUGCGAGACUGACAAGUCGAACAGUUGCGAAAGCAGGUGUUAGUGAUCCGGUGGUACCACAUGGAAGGGCCAUCGCUCAUCGGAUAAAAGGUACUCUGGGGAUAACAGGCUGAUCGCGCCUGAGAGUUCACAUCGGCGGCGCGGUUUGGCACCUCGAUGUCGGCUCAUCGCAUCCUGGGGCUGGAGCAGGUCCCAAGGGUUUGGCUGUUCGCCAAUUAAAGCGGUACGCGAGCUGGGUUUAAAACGUCGUGAGACAGUUUGGCCCCUAUCUUCCGUGGGCGCAGGACACUUGAGGGGAGCUAUCCAUAGUACGAGAGGACCUGGAUGGACGAACCUCUGGUGCUCCGGUUGUCACGCCAGUGGCAUAGCCGGGUAGCCAUGUUCGGAACAGAUAACCGCUGAAGGCAUAUAAGCGGGAAGCUGGCCUCAAGACUUGGUGUCCCUGACGCAAGUCACUAAAGGCCCCUCGAAGACUACGAGGUUGAUAGGCUCGGUGUGGAAGCGCUGCGAGGCGUGGAGCUAACGAGUACUAAUAGGCCGUGCGACUUGACCUG
rnacentral:rRNA from 1 species